ensembl:antisense Kirrel3os kin of IRRE like 3 (Drosophila), opposite strand
GAUAGUGAGCCUCUUGCCGUCUUCCGAGGUGAGAUGGUCCGUGGAGCUAUGGUAGCACAGAGAGUCUGUGACUCUGACAGCCUCACACUCCUGUCCCCAGGACACAAUCUGCCAACGUUGUCCUGGACACUAUGAGUCUCUAAUGAAGAGCAAUCGGGCCGACCAAGGCAGGGAGAAGGAGCGAGCCAAGAUAACACUGCAGUGCCCCGAAGAGAAGAGAUUUGCAGAAAAGCACUGUGUCCUUGUACUGUGUGGUGGAGCCAGGAAUUCUAAGUUGGCACCAAAGGUCAUUUGGCUUUGCCUCUGGAGACAUCUAUCACGAGUGGGCUAUCCCUCUCCCAGUACUCCUGAUCUCUGCAUAAAUGGGAUUGAAUUGGAGUAUCCAUUUGGAACAGUAAGUACUAAGAAACUUUUUUUUCCUGCAUAGCCAUUACAUAUAUGUUAUCUUUACAACAAGUACAUGCAACAUUUGUUUUAAAGGGUUGGUUGUUAAAAAUAAAAAUAUUUUUUCUUUGUUUUAUCCCUAAUUAAAUAGUACUUGAGGAAGUGUUUGCUUCAUGCAAAUAACACACCAUUUUAUUUACGGUUUUAUUCUGUUCACCCAUGUUACUUUUCUGGUCCUCACAGGCAGCUAUGACUUUUUUUCUUGUAUGACAAUGUUCACUCAAAUUAUUUUUGUUGCUACUUCGUAAAUGUAAUUUUGCUAUUGUUAUGAAUCAUAAUGUGAGUGUCUGAUACACAGUUAUCUGGUAUGUGAUCCCCCCGAAAGGGUCACAACCCACAGGUUGAGAACAGUCGUUCUAGAAGACAAAGGCUCAAUUCCCAGCACUCACAUGGAGGCUGUCCAGUGCCUUUCCAUCUGUAACUCCAGUUUCAGGGGGAGCUGAUGACCUCUUUUGGCUGCUGCAGGGGACAGCUUCUGAUCCCCAGUUCCAGUGAUCCCUUCUGUUGGAAGAUUUCUCUUAGGCAGUAUUCAUGCCAAUCAGGAGGUGCUGGGGCCAGCAGGAGUGCUGGAAGCAAACACUCCCACCCCUUGUGUAUGAGCCCUAAGCAUCUUCCAGCCAAUUUACCUUAAGAGAUGGUAUGUAAAUGUCCCACUCCUGGGGUCUCCUGACUUUGAUUCAUUAUUCUACAACAUGUCUCAGAGUUCCUAUGAAUCUCGGCUCUAGCUGUCCGCAGUGAUAACAGGCUGGUGAUACCCCGUGUUGGUUCCAUUCUUCCAUGUCAAUUUUUUAAAUGUCACUCUGGUACCCUCUUUUCCUGCAGAUAAAUGAUCACAUUUAAAUGUGCCUCUGGGGUAACCGGGCAAAGUGAGAAUAUUCUCCCAUGUCUCCCACAGCUCUGAGUACACAGUCAGCACCUGAUAAAUCCUCAAAGCAAACAGAAAUGAACUUUCAGAACAGUCCCAAGUGCAGCUCUCAGCACACUGAGAGUAGGCUAGCCAGAGUGGCAGAUGAAUGGGUGUUGGAUGGGAAGCUCGCCUCUUUCUGGGCCCGAGAGCACCCACAACCACAUCCUCACCUCUGCACCCAUAGCACAUGAUUCUGGGCCACACUUUGCCAGGUGCAGAGGAACUGUGGCCUAGCAUCCUUCCUCAGCAAGAGAGGAGUGGCUUGUGCUCUAUUUUGAGAUCCUUUCGUGAAUAGCAGUUGAGAUGUGUUACUCUUUACUGCUAAGAAUGGUGGUUAUUCCUAGUUCAUUUGACUCAGAGGUGGGGAACUGUUACAUUGCUCUAUUUAUCCCACACUCGGUAUGCAGUUACUGAAACUGUCACCAUGUCCUAUAUUCCAUAGGCUAUUAUGUGUAUUUCAAACCAUUAUAUAAAUGGACCUGAUUUGGUACUUCUGAAUGUCUUAAACUCCUCCCAUACCAGUAACAACACCGUUUCCAUAGAAACAAAUAUAUUUCAGCAAGAAAGGCACAAGGAAGAAGCAGAUGGAGCAGAGGAGAAAAACAGUAUCCCAUUGCUGCUUUCAGAGUGCUGGACCUGCUACUGUGCAAUGACCAUCCUGAGAAAGUGCUAUGAGUGCCUUCAGGUUUUUACUGACUUCCCCUCGGUAAAGUCCUGGGUAAUUCAUCUCUGCCCCCAAACAUGCUCAUUCCGCUACACAGCUCUGAGAACUUUAUGGCACCACAAGUCAUUAGGCACUUCGUUCAUUUCCACUCUUCUGUGCCUUCUCCAGACUCUGGGGGAGGGGCCUGGAGUGAGGGUCUCAGCAUUUAGUGAGUUCAGUGAUUGGAGCUUUGAGACUAGAUGUGGGCAGAGAGGCAGAGAGGCAGAGAGGCAAAGAGGCAGAGAGGCAGAGAGGCAGAGAGGCAGAGAGGCAGAGAGGCAGAGAGGGGAGAGGAAGUCUCCUCAAGACACAGCAUAGGGGGAGACCCCAAUAUCUUCUCAAUAACUGUUGCUUCCCAGGUCACUUGACCCCUCAUUAGUACAGUUGGAAUGCUAGAAUGAAGAGUCUUGGAGCUAAAGGAGUAUAAUAGUGUAUAUGUGUGUGUGUCUGUCUGUCUGUCUAUCUAUCUAUCUAUCUAUCUAUCUAUCUAUCUAUCUAUCUAUCUAUCUAUCUAUCUAUCUCACCUCUUUAUGAGAGUCUGUUGGAAGAGAUGGAAGAGCCAGGCCCUCACAGCCAUGGCAAGGGUUCAAGCAUUGGUUGCAAUGGCCUCUUUCAGGAAAGCAGCCAAGUGUUAAGCUCUCCAAGAAGCUACCCUGGAUACACCUCACAUGGCUUUCAUCCUGAGAGGUGUCUCCUUCUCUGUGGCCACAGUUGAUUAUUCAUACCUGGGACAGGCAGCUGUGACACCGCUCUACCAUAUUAUGUGCUUGAUAGCCUUGGGAGCAGGGACCGCCUUCACAUGCCACAGGGCUGGCACUGUGCCUUGCACUGAGAGCCACUGGGUGAAGGCGGUCAGUCCUAAGUGCCCAGCUCUACUACCCGCAAAGUUCUUUCCAUUCAGUGAAACUUGGUAAGGAUGUUUAACCAUCAAAAGAUGGUAUGGAUGACAUCCCAGCUUAUUAGACUGUGGCUCAUGACACCACUGGGGGUGGUUGUAAGAGGGCUAUAUGCGGUGAUAGAAAAUUUGGCAUCAGUGAAAGAUUUCUGAGCAUGCAGUGACCCAAACACUGAACUUGAAAUCAAACAUGCAGUGAAUGAGGUGUUUCUGGCAGUACUCACUUGUGUCACAUAUCUGUCAUACCAAUGUCACAUCUGUUGGAGGCACUGCGGCCUUGGUUCUAAACACAUAGUGUGUGUACUCUUCACUGCACACUGUCAACCCACAUAGUGCCACCCAGUGCUUCCUGAGUCACCUACCUCAGCUGAGUCUUGAGACAUCUGAGUGUCACAGAUGGUGGCCUUUUUACUGUGCAUACAAAGUUUUAGCUCUCACAGAAACAUAACCAUUUAAUUAUGGAAGACAAAAACUUCAAUAUUUUUCUACCAUCAUUCCUUGGUGUGUAGGUAUCAAAGUGGUGUAUCUUUGGAUUGUACCGAAUCUGAGUGUUUGAUUUUUAAAAAUUGUUAUUUAAAUUGCUGAUUUGAGUUUUAUGAGAAAGACAAUACAAAACAUGAAAUGAACUUUGGCUUGGGAUUAGGACAGAAUUUCCAACAAUUCCUCAAGUGCACUAAAUAUACUUCUGCUGAGUCACACGAUAGAUACACUUAUGCAAAACAGAAUUCUCAGCUCUGACAAUUUCAAGAUCAAAAUACUGAUCUGAAAGCCAUUGGAUAUGUUCCACACUCUGCAGCUGCAAAUAUUUAGUCAAGAUUGAAUUAUUUUUGUAAAAAUAAACAAGCACACCUAUCUCAUUAGC